GGAGUGACAAAGGGAAAUGACCUUAAGUUGCACCAGGUGCAACCUAAACCUUUCCUUCCUGUUGGGAGCAACAGCUGCAGCCUAUGACAUGGACUUGCCAAGCCUGAAUGACUGUAAAAUAUCAUUUACCUUGGAGCAAGAUGGUAUCAAAGAGAACAACCACAUGGGCCUGAUUAUGAAUUCAUUACAUGGCUCUGCUUAAGAAGAGGAGAAGUUGCAGUUAUCACCAGGUCUCUCUUCUGAGCUGCCACCUGAAAGGGCUGUCAUAUUUGAAAGCAUUAUUGAGACAAAAAGGGAUUUUUUGUUUCUUUGCUUAGAAAAACAUUCUCAGCUUUCAAAGACCGGAGAUUCAACAGUGUUCACCAGAGCAGGAAACAGAUACUUCUAUAGGUUAAUGGGGAUGUGAUGGCCACAGAAGAACAGGUAAUUGGCUGAUGAAGGCCAUACAUCUGACACACUUCCCAGCAUCCCUGCACUGUCCUACAGAUCUAGUAGACCGUGUGUGAGUGCCAUAGCCCUUGGAUUAAAACAUGCUUUCAGCUAUCUCUGUGCUACCUCCAUCCUUUUGACUUUUAGGUGGGCUUUUUUGAUGGAAGCAACCUUUAAAGUUGAGGAGGGAGUUCAGAUGAGCUGGAAAACAAUGAUUUACCACAUAUUUUCUUCCACUCCAGUCUUUCUCUCUAGGACCGUUUGAUUUCUCCUGUCUCCCAAGGGCAGAUGAUGGUAGGUCGGGGGAGGCAGAGACCACUGGGUUGCUCUUUGUUUCCUGCCCUGGUCUCAGGCUUCUCCGGAAGUGUGCUGGGCUGUCGUGCUCACUUCCCUUUUCAGCCUCACGUAUUUCCCAUCAAUGAUGAGUGGGAAAGGUCAAGGAAGGUCUCUUUAAUGCUUUGCUUGAGGGCAAGAAACAGCUUUGGGAAACGGGUCCCAGGCUUCCUGAUUUCCUGAGAUUUCAAGUCUAUUCAAUAAGCAAAGAAAUAAAUCUUAAGAAAAGUGAAAAAAUAAAGGUAUUAAAGAGGAUGUUAUCAUGUGGGCUUGCUUCUACCAGAGUCUCAUUAUGUAAGCUUCAGCAAUUCUCUCCCAGUGAUUUUGGUGGCAGAAGAGUAGCCUGAACAAGAACCAAGACAGAUAAAGAAAACACUGCAUGAAUGUGUGGGGUUAAACAGUAGGAGAUAAUGAGGCUCAGUUUAAGGCAGCUCAGGUGUAAUGUGUUUGAAAUUUUAAGUAUCCCAUCACAAAAUGUCUGAGAAGUGCUUUGACCACUGUUAAUAACAUAAUGAAGGCAGGAGUGCUUUCCAUCCUUCGGUUCAGCUACAAUGGCUGGGAACUCUUUCCAUCAGUUGUUCAGAAAAUAUUAAGGGAUCUGGAUAAUUAAGGACUUAAAUGUAGCAAAUUUACAUAACAACAUUUCUCAUGCCCCAGGACAGAAAGGCGUAAUUUUACCUGUGUACAUUGUGCUUCACAUACAGAAGUAACAUGCCUUUCAAUAUUUCCAUACAUGGUGUAAAUCAGUUUUGCGAGUUGAAACCAGUGUAACAAUGUCAGGAGUUUUUUGCUGUUAUCUUUCCCUCUUUGUUUUGUGCCUCCCUUUGUUGCGUCUAUCACUGAAUGUUCCAGAGCUCUCUACAAUGAGCUUGGAAAGUGCUGACCCAAGUCGUUUACUGUAUCUGUGCUCAUAAACAAGCUGUUACUUGGCUUUGGCAUGUAAAUAAGUCACUGGUCUUUCCAUCUUAUAGUUGUUAAAUAAAUGCUAU
ensembl:lncRNA